rnacentral:rRNA from 1 species
AGAGUUUGAUUCUGGCUCAGAUUGAACGCUGGCGGCGUGCUUAACACAUGCAAGUCGAACGUGAAAGUCCUUCGGGACGAGUAAAGUGGCGCACGGGUGAGUAACGCGUGGAUAAUCUACCCUUAAGAUGGGGAUAACGGCUGGAAACGGUCGCUAAUACCGAAUACGCUCCCGAUUUUAUCGUUGGGGGGAAAGAUGGCCUCUGCUUGCAAGCUAUCGCUUAAGGAUGAGUCCGCGUCCCAUUAGCUAGUUGGCGGGGUAACGGCCCACCAAGGCAACGAUGGGUAGCCGGUCUGAGAGGAUGACCGGCCACACUGGAACUGGAACACGGUCCAGACUCCUACGGGAGGCAGCAGUGGGGAAUAUUGCGCAAUGGGCGAAAGCCUGACGCAGCGACGCCGCGUGAGGGAUGAAGGUUCUCGGAUCGUAAACCUCUGUCAGGGGGGAAGAAACCCCCUCGUGUGAAUAAUGCGAGGGCUUGACGGUACCCCCAAAGGAAGCACCGGCUAACUCCGUGCCAGCAGCCGCGGUAAUACGGAGGGUGCAAGCGUUAAUCGGAAUCACUGGGCGUAAAGCGCACGUAGGCGGCUUGGUAAGUCAGGGGUGAAAUCCCACAGCCCAACUGUGGAACUGCCUUUGAUACUGCCAGGCUUGAGUACCGGAGAGGGUGGCGGAAUUCCAGGUGUAGGAGUGAAAUCCGUAGAUAUCUGGAGGAACACCGGUGGCGAAGGCGGCCACCUGGACGGUAACUGACGCUGAGGUGCGAAAGCGUGGGUAGCAAACAGGAUUAGAUACCCUGGUAGUCCACGCUGUAAACGAUGAUUACUAGGUGUGGGGGGACUGACCCCUUCCGUGCCGCAGUUAACACAAUAAGUAAUCCACCUGGGGAGUACGACCGCAAGGUUGA